AGUGAACGCUGGCGGUAGGCCUAACACAUGCAAGUCGAACGGCAGCACAGUAAGAGCUUGCUCUUACGGGUGGCGAGUGGCGGACGGGUGAGGAAUACAUCGGAAUCUACUUUUUCGUGGGGGAUAACGUAGGGAAACUUACGCUAAUACCGCAUACGACCUACGGGUGAAAGCAGGGGAUCUUCGGACCUUGCGCGAUUGAAUGAGCCGAUGUCGGAUUAGCUAGUUGGCGGGGUAAAGGCCCACCAAGGCGGCGAUCCGUAGCCGGUCUGAGAGGAUGGGAGCCGAACCGGGAAUGUGAGCAGCGGCACGGGUACUGAGGGGGGGACCAGGGGGGGAUUGUGGGCAGAGGGGGCAAAGCUGAAACCAGCCAACCGGGGGGGGUGAAGAAGCCCCGGGGGUGGGAAAUCCCUUUUGGUGUGAAAAAAAAAAAGCGGGUUAAAUCCCCCGUGUUUGACGGUACCCAAUAAAAAAGCCCCGGCUAAAUACGUG
rnacentral:rRNA from 1 species